AAAUUUUAUCAUAAAAUUGAACUUAUAUAAACCACAUAUUGUGUAACUGUAUAGAUUUUUAAAAUAUGUUUACGUAUUAUAUGGUUGGAAAGUUAAUUAUAGACUAAGAAAAAAUACACAUCCUGACGUAAAAGUAAUAAUAUAAAUUACACAUCGAUUAUUUAUGUAUUGGACUUGUUUCUAGACUCUUUUUUUGUCUCUUCCUGCUACAGUUUGAUAAAAAUGCAUUAGUUAACAUUAGUCACAAGGUAGAUAUUGUUAUUUUAGACAAACUUUUUAUUCUAUCAAUCCCGAAUGAAACUGUUGGCGCCUAUUUAGGUUAGU